CUUCACAGCUCAUUUACUGGGAGCUGCCUGAAAAAUCAUCGAGGCCAGUUCCCAAAUUCUUGGCAUGGGAUUACUUUUUACAAACAAACUCUUUCUUAGAACUCUACUCUGCGAGACAGAAAACAUGGAACAUCGACGUGGAUGGUCUCUUGACUCCUCCAAAAUUACAGCCUAGUGGGGACCAUCACGCUAAUUCCACCUGUUGAGAGACCACAGCUCACUGUUGGGGAGAGGAGAUGAAAACUGUGUAUCAGUUCAUGUCCUCUGUUUUUGAAAAGCCAGGAAAACUGAUUUCUUUCAGAGGACUGGUAGGUUUGGAGCUUGGAGAGGCCUGGAAUCACCAAGUUGGAAGAGGCACAGCUGGAUGAGGAACCUGAAGCACAGCAAUGGAUGGAGAGAUUCUGGAUGAACAUGGAUAUUCUGCCCCAAAGGGUUUUCACUCUUUACAACUAUUUUGUUCAUGCCUGGGACACACCAGGCAUUGCAGGCUCUGGGGACAGCAAUGAGCAAGAUAGACCCAGCAGAGCUCACAGUCUGGCGUGAGAGGUAGAUACCCAUCGAAUCAUCACUCAUAUAUUACAUAUGGCAUCCAGUUCUUUAAGAUCCAUGUUGCUUCUUCGGAGACACUGCAUGGCUGAGUGACCAACUGUGCUUUCUUAUGCAGCCGUGACCAGCUCAGCCUCAGCCAUGUGCCACCUUGUGCUCGCUUUCUGUCCUUCCUGAUUGGCUUCCAUUUUCCUGUACCCCACCAUGCACCCUGUAAUGACAUAUUGGUACCUAAACUUUGCCUCCAACUCUGUGGUCUAGGCAACCAAGCAUAACGUAAAGAGAAGAAAUUGAGAGUUGUUAGAUCGUAACCACUCAAAAACUUAUAGGAGGACUGGCUGUACCUAAUGUUGGCAAGAAUACAGAGCAAGUAGAACUCUUGUUCACUGUUCGUGGGAAUGUAAAAUGGAACAGCCACUUUGGAAAACAGUUUGGAAGUUUCUUAAAAGGUCAGAUAUACACCUACCAUAUGGCCCAAUCUUUGCACUCCGAAGUAUUUAUCCAAGAGAAAAAAAAAUACGUCCACACAAAGACUUGUACAUGAAUGCUUAUAGCAGCUUUAUUUAAAAUAGCCUAAACUGGAAAACACUCAAAUGUCACUUAGCUGCUGAACGCAUAGACAAAUGGUGGUGUAUUCAUACAAGGGAAUUCUACUCAGCAAUAAAAAUGAAUCAACUAUUGAUAUACACCACAUGGGCAAAUUUCAAAAUAAUUAUGCUGAGUGAAUGAAGACAAAGGAAGAGUCCUACUAUUUGGCCCCAUUUCCAUAAAUUCUAGAACAUGUAAAUUAAUCUACAAUAGCAGAAAGGUCAGGGUUGCCUGGGAACAGUGUGGAGGAGGGAUGGAUUGCAAAGAGGCACAAGGAAGUUUUAGGGCUGAUGAAAAAGUCUGUUACGUUGAUUUGCUGAUAGUUUCAUGGGAAUGCCUUAACAAAGAUGUAAAAAUGAGAGAAAAAAAUUGCAAAGAAAUCACCAGGCCCAUAAGUGAAUUCAACCAAAUCCUUAGAGAAAUGAUUGAUAACUGCAAUGCUAUCUAAAGCAUUUCAGUAUAUAGAGAAAAAGAAAAGCUUCAAAAUUCCUUUUAUGAAAUCAGCAUAACUUUGAUAUUAAAAACCUGGCAAAAAUAUCACAUUAAUGAAGAGCAUGCUGUUCUGCACACACUUAGAGAGUUAUUAUUAACUCUGUAAAUCAACUACACUGCAUCUGACCUAGUUUCAAGAUUUUUCUUCGCCUUUGGUUUCUAGAAGUUUAAUUACAAAGUGCCUUUGUGUGGAUUUCCUUGGACUUGUCCUGUUUGGGAAAAUUAUCAAUCAGGUAAGACUGGAAGAGGAGGAAGGCUGAUGCCAGUGACAGGGCUUCUGAUCAGCGGGAUCCAGAGCCAGGAGGGGGUCUCAGACACCUCAGUGUGGCCUCUUUGACGGCUCUCUGGGAACAUCUCUCCACACUGUGAUCCACACCUGCUCUCCGUGCCCAUCCCUCCCACCUUAGUUUUUAUUUUCAUCAUCUCAUGCCUUUUCUUUAAAAACCUCUACCAGACUCUGAGCCUCCUCUCCCAGCAAUGCAUCCUCUACAAUGUGCAGCAAUCUAAUUAUGGGACAUAGUUAUGAUGCAGUUACUCCUCUGCUCACUUCCUUUCAUGGGCUCUGCUCUCUCAUGGCCCACAGGACAAGGUGCCUCAUUCUCUACCGUUCCGUCACUUGGCAUUACAUGUAACAUUCUGGCUGAUGUUCUGACCAUGCCAAAGAACUGCACCACAUUGUUCAUGUCUUUGCAAUGCCAUUCCCUCUGCCUGGAUGGUCUUCCCUCCCUCUCAUUGGUAGGCAGUGGGUCUGCUCCCCAGGUCUGACUUGUGCCUCCACCGUCCAACCCAGCACAGGACCUGACACCGCAGAUAUCACUGGAGACUUGUAGGGAGGAAAUGCUCCCAAACCUCGCUCUGUGUCUUUUCAUUUGUCUGGUCCUGAUCUGUACCCUUUAUAGUGCAACUGUAAUCACAAGUAUAGCACUUGCCUGAGGUUUGUGAGCCAUCUUAGCAAAUUAUCAAACCUGAGAGGGCAUGAGAACCUCCCAAAUUUGUAGCUAGUUGAUCAGAAUAGUGGGUGGCCUGAGGACCCCCAAAGUGUGACUGGCAUCUGAGGUGAAGGCAGUCUCACUGAGGGCUGUGACCUAACCUGUGGAGUCUGUGAUAAGUGUA